CGACUCUCGGCAACGGAUAUCUUGGCUCUCGCAUCGAUGAAGAACGUAGCGAAAUGCGAUACUUGGUGUGAAUUGCAGAAUCCCGUGAACCAUCGAGUCUUUGAACGCAAGUUGCGCCCGAGGCCAUCUCGGCCGAGGGCACGCCUGCCUGGGCGUCACG
rnacentral:rRNA from 1 species